GAUAAAUAAAAAAUUAAUGAUUAUCACUGAUUGUUAGAAGAAGAUCACUGCUGAAGAUAACGUUACAUAGAAAGGAAUGGUGUUAAAAUCAAUCUACUCUGAGGAUUCAAUACUCCAAGUAUGCCAGAAGAGGGAAAUUCCACAACCCCUAGGCACUGUUCUUUGAAAGAAGAGCCCAUUCUCCUCCUGAGGGAGCCCUUUCCUACUCAGCUGUCAUUGAGCCUUCAGGGGAGUUUUCCUCCUGGUAAUUUCUCAGAGCCUAAUAGUGGCCAGAAAAAUCAGAUUUGCUGAGAACAUCUGGGAUUACAGAGAGCACUGAUGUGGAGAAAGGAAGGGCAUCGUGAUCUUAGAGAAACCUUCCUCUAUAGAGUAAGUACAGGGUCACUCUGCCUUAGUGCACUUGCUGUCUCCCAGAAAUUUCCUACCAAUUUCACAGCAGCAGUUCCGGACGAGUUACCAAAUAUGACAGUAUUUCUUUACUAAAAAAUCUAUCCCUCCCAAACUCUAGUUUAUGAAGAUUCUGACAUUGAUAUUUUACUUUUACAAAUUAUUUGAGAAAAAGCAUUUAAAUUCUAAGCAUGCAAACAUGACAAAAGGGCAUACUUACAAAGUGUCCCUUCCCUGGUCAUUACAGUCUGCCCCAACUGACCCCUCCCUCAUCCAUUGAGGUGUGUAGAAAAGAGGCAGAAAUUGCCCAUAAUCAUGCUAUGCCUUUCUACUGUACAUCCAAUAUGUGCUGUCAUU
rnacentral:lncRNA from 1 species